CGUAGGUGAACCUGCGGAAGGAUCAUUAACAAAUCCUAGCCGUUGUUGCCUUCGCGGGGCAACGGUGAAACACCGUGCACUGGCAGCUGGAGAUGGGAGAUCGUCGGAGGUGUGCUGCCGGCAUUAAGUUGGAUGCCGCACCUAAAUCGGUGGGAAUCUGUCUGACGCCGCCCGCCGGGCCUCAAACGGACUUCUUCCAUCUUUGGUUUUUUGUUUGACUUUUAUGAGACUUUGUGUGGUAUUUUGGUAUGGUGCGUUGGUUGAAAAUUUGACAACUUCUGACGGUGGAUCUCUUGGCUCGUGCAUCGAUGAAGAACGCAGCAAGCUGCGAUACCUAGUGUGAAUUGCAGAAUUCAGUGAAUCAUCGAGUCUUUGAACGCAAAUGGCGCUCCCGGGGUCUCCUCGGGAGCAGGUCUGUCCGAGCGUCUGCCACUUUAAAGUGUUGUCGUCACUGCGAUGACAAGAGUGAGGAGCUGCAUUGCUCACCCCAGUGGUCACAUCGCACUCCUUGAAGAAACAGCAUUGCAUUGUGGACGGUGGACUGCGACGGCGUUCCGGCGGACAAUCGUCACAACGGCAUAACGGGUUGCGUCAUUGUAUCUCGUCGGCACCGUCGUUUGUCCACGACUGCCCACAAGCGUCUCAGGACCC
rnacentral:misc_RNA from 1 species